UAAACGUUUGCUAUCCUCGUGUUUGUACGUGUGUCAGAGUUGAAUGCAGUUGUGUACGUAUGUUUCACACUUGGACACAUGCUAGGAAAGUUACAUUAAAAUAAGCUUUGAAGAGAGUUAAGAAGAAGAAGAAAAAGCAUAAUGAAUGAAACACCUUCAUAGAAACACUGUGGUAUGCACAGGGAGAAAUACCAUGUGCCACCUAGUGGCAAAACAAGAAACAACCAACGCAUGAAACUGCUUUUCCUGUUGGGAAAGCAGUUUCAUUUUGAAAUUUUGAAACUCUAGCUAUUCCUUCUACAGACAUCUGCCCCUGUUAAAAUAUUCUCACAGAGAGGAACUUCAGUUCACUUCAAGCACAUCGAUACUGUCAAGCAGCAUGCAUAAAGCACAGUUUCAGAUUGCUCCGCAUAUCCACACACUGCAUGUUUCAUUCCAUGUUUCAUUUCGUCCACCAAAUGAUUUCUGUCUUCCCUCACCAGCCUGAUUUAUGGCAUGCUCUGGCCCAUUGUUUAUUGGAGCCUGUGGAGUUCUCUCGUGUGGUAACGUACCCAUCACUGACCCCUUUGUGUUUCACUUUAACCUUAAAUCUCCCUUUUGUCUCCAUUAACCCUAAAUGUUGUUUUCAGCAAUUCGUCGUUAUAACUUAAUACUGCUGACGUCAUGCCAGCUCCUAUAGGUGAAGGCAGACACUAAAAUAACAGAUACACAAGGCAGCUGAUUUGAUACAAUGUAAAUUAUAUGAAUACCAUAAAGUAGUCAGAACCACUUUCGGACAUCUGCUGCACAGUAUGCAUGUUAAAGUGAGGCAGAGGAGUAUUCACAAAGUUAGACGUAUUGUGUCUGUGUGUGACAAGUGUGUAUGUGGCUUUCUGAUUGA